UGAUUAGCCGCGCCGUUUCACCGCGGUCACUCCGUGCCGGCCAGGGCGGCAGCGGGAGCUCUGAGAUGGCGACUGCUGCGGGGGUCCAGGGGCGGCGGGACGGGUGCGGAGCCCCCCCAGGAGGGUGGCCGGGGCUCGCCGUGGGCUCGGAGCACAGGUGACCCGGCCAUGGCCUCUCCCGGUGGUUCCCAGGUCCCAGAGUCGCUUCCGGCCCCGGUGGCCCCGGGGGAGCGGCUGAGCCCUGAGGAGCUGCAGAUGCUGGCCCGGCUGGAGGAGCAGAACCAGUCAAGAAAAUGGAAUAUUUCAUAUUUUCUGUCUUUUUUGGACAGAAAUUUCAGUUACAAUUGAUGUUGUUUGGGUUCGGGGGGAAUAUCUCCAUUUUUUCAGUCAUUUUCGGGGGAAUAUUUCAAUUUUUUGACUCAUUUUAUUGGGAAUAUUUCCAUUUUUUGAGCAAUUUUAGGAAGAAUAUUUCCAUUAUUGGAGUGGUUUCAAGGGAAAUAUCUCCAAUUUUGGGAGAAUAUCUCCAAUUUUGGGGAAAUAUCUCUAUUUUGGUUGGAAUAUCUUCAUUUUAAAGUGACUAUCUCCAUGUUUCAGUGGAAUAUUUCCAUUUUUGGAUGAAUAUCUCAAUUUUUAGUUGAAUUAUCUCCAUUUUUGGGUGGAAUAUUUCCAUUUUAGGUGAAUUACCGCCAUUUUUAGUUGAAAUAUUUCCAAUUUUUGGGGUAAUAUCUCAAUUUUUGGGUGAAUAUCUCCAUUUUUAGUUGAUUUAUCUCCAUAUUUAGUUGAAUUAUCUCCAUUUUUGGGUGGAAUAUUUCCAUUUUUUGGGUUAAUAUCUUCAUUUAUGAUUGGAAUAUCUCAAUUUUUGGGUGAAUAUUUCCAUUUUUGGAGAUAUUGGAGUUGUGGCCAAGCUGGAGGAGCAGAACCGGUCAGAAAAAUGGAAUAUUUGAUAUUUUCUGCACUUCUUUGGGGCAAAAAUUUGAUUUCCUGGAGGUUUGGAGCAAGAGAUCCAUUUCUGGGGAAAAUAUCUCAAUUUUUUGGGUCAUUUUUAGGGGAAUAUUUGAAUUUUUUAAGCCAUUUUAUUGGGAAUAUUUCCAUUUUUUGAGCCAUUUUUGGGGCAUAUUUCCACAUUUAGGGAAGAAUAUUUCCAUUUUUAGGUGAAUUAUCUUCAUUUUCGGGGUGAUAUCUCAAUUUCUACGUGGAAUAUUUCCAUUUUUGGGUGAAUAUCUCCAUUCUUGGGUGUAAUAUUUCCAUUUCUGGGGUAAUAUUUCCAUUUUUCGGUAAUAUCUCCAUUUUAGGUGAAUACCUCCAUUUUUGGCUGGAAUUUCUCAAUUUUUGGCUGGAAUAUCUCAAUUUUUGGGUGGAAUAUUUCCAUUUUUGGGUCAACAUUUCCAUUUUUAGGUGGAAUAGCUCCAUUUUGGGCUGGAAUAUCUCAAUUUUUGGGAGAAUAUCUCUAUUUUUGGAUGAAUAUUUCCAUUUUUGGAGAUAUUGGAGUUGUGGCAAAGUUGGAGGAGCAGAACCAGUCAGAAAAAUGGAAUAUUUGAUAUUUUCUGUCUUUUUUUGGGGCAAAAAUUUCAGUUAAAAUUGAUGUUCUUUGGGUUUGGAGCAA